GACUGGCUCAGGAUGAACGCUAGCUACAGGCUUAACACAUGCAAGUCGAGGGGCAGCAUGGUCUUAGCUUGCUAAGGCCGAUGGCGACCGGCGCACGGGUGAGUAACACGUAUCCAACCUGCCGUCUACUCUUGGACGGCCUUCUGAAAGGAAGAUUAAUACAAGAUGGCAUCAUGAGUCCGCAUGUUCACAUGAUUAAAGGUAUUCCGGUAGACGAUGGGGAUGCGUU
rnacentral:rRNA from 1 species